rnacentral:tRNA from 3 species
CGGAGAGAUGGAUGAGUGGUUUAAGUCGCACGCCUGGAAAGCGUGUAUAGGUUAAUAGCCUAUCGGGGGUUCGAAUCCCCCUCUCUCCGCCAG